rnacentral:rRNA from 1 species
UACGGAGGAUGCAAGCGUUAUCCGGAAUGAUUGGGCGUAAAGCGUCCGCAGGUGGCUAUGUAAGUCUGCUGUUAAAGAGUGAGGCUCAACCUCAUAAGAGCAGUGGAAACUACAUAGCUAGAGUACGUUCGGGGCAGAGGGAAUUCCUGGUGUAGCGGUGAAAUGCGUAGAGAUCAGGAAGAACACCAGUGGCGAAGGCGCUCUGCUAGGCCGUAACUGACACUGAGGGACGAAAGCUAGGGGAGCGAAUGGG